AUACGGAGGAUCCGAGCGUUAUCCGGAUUUAUUGGGUUUAAAGGGUGCGCAGGCGGGAGAUUAAGUCGGCGGCGAAAUUUUGCAGCUCAACUGUAAAAGUGCCUUCGAAACUGGUUUCCUUGAGUGUAGAUGAAGUAGGCGGAAUUUGGGGUGUAGCGGUGAAAUGCAUAGAUAUCACGAGGAACUCCGAUUGCGCAGGCAGCUUACUAAACUACUACUGACGCUCAGGCACGAAGGCGUGGGGAUCAAACAGGAUUAGAUACCCUGGUAGUCCACGCAGUAAACGAUGAUUACUAGCUGUUUGCGAUACAAUGUAAGCGGCUGAGCGAAAGCGUUAAGUAAUCCACCUGGGGAGUACGUUCGCAAGAAUGAAACUCAAAUGAAUUGACGGGG
rnacentral:rRNA from 1 species